UUUGGGACUAGGGAAAGGUUUAAGGGUUUUGGCGUUAGGGUUAAAAUCACUGUCCAAAACCUUUGUAGCAACUCUUUUCCAACCUUUUGGAGUUAGUUAGACCAAAAAAAAAUGAAAAAUUAAAAAAAAUAUAUUUGGGGUGUUCAGGCUUCCUAAAAGUAGUACCCGGGUAUUAGGUUAUGGGGCUAUGGUAAGGUUUAAGGUUUUUGGCGUUAGGGUUAAAAUCACUGUCCAAAACCUUUGUAGGAACUCUUUUUCAACCUUUUGGAGUUAGUUAGACCAAAAAAAAAAUGAAAAAUGAAAAAAAAAUAUUUGGGGUUUACGGGCUUCCUGAAUGUAAUACCCGGGUAUUAGAUUUUAAGGCCAGGGAAAGGUUUAAGUUUUUUGGCGUUAGGGUUAAAAUCACUGUCCAAAACCUUUGUAGGAACUCUUUUCCAACCUUUUGGAGUUAGUUAGACCAAAAAGUAUGAAAAAAGAAAAAAUAUUAUUGGGGGUUUUCGGGCUCCCUGAAAGUAAUACCCGGGUAUUAGGUUUUGGGGCUAUGGUAAGGUUUAAGUUUUUUGGCGUUCGGGUUAAAAUCACUGUCCAAAACCUUUGUAGGAACUCUUCUCCAACCUUUUGGAGUUAGUUAGACCAAAAAAUAUGAAAAAAGAAAAAAAUAUUAUUGGGGGUUUUCGGGCUCCCUGAAAGUAAUACCCGGGUAUUAGGUUUUGGGGCUAUGGUAAGGUUUAAGGUUUUUGGCUUUAGGGUUGAAAUCACUGUCCAAAACCUUUGUAGGAACUCUUUUUCAACCUUUUGGAGUUAGUUAGACCAAAAAAAAAUGAAAAAUGAAAAAAAAAUAUUUGGGGUUUACGGGCUUCCUGAAUGUAAUACCCGGGUAUUAGAUUUUAAGGCCAGGGUAAGGUUUAAGUUUUUUGGCGUUAGGGUUAAAAUCACUGUCCAAAACCUUUGUAGGAACUCUUUUCCAACCUUUUGGAGUUGGUUAGACCAAAAAAAAAGAAAAAUGAAAAAAAAAUAUUUGGGGUGUUCAGGCUUCCUAAAAGUAAUACCCAGGUAUUAGGUUAUGGGGCUAUGGUAAGGUUUAAGUUUUUUGGCGUUAGGGUUAAAAUCACUGUCCAAAACCUUUGUAGGAACUCUUUUCCAACCUUUUGGAGUUAGUUAGACCAAAAAAUAUGAAAAAAGAAAAAAAUAUUAUUGGGGGUUUUCGGGCUCCCUGAAAGUAAUACCCGGUUAUUAGGUUUUGGGGCUAUGGUAAGGUUUAAGUUUUUUGGCGUUAGGGUUAAAAUCACUGUCCAAAACCUUUGUAGGAACUCUUUUCCAACCUUUUGGAGUUAGUUAGACCAAAAAAAAAUGAAAAAUGAAAAAACAAUAUUUGGGGUUUUCGGGGUUCCGGAAUGUAAUACCCGGGUAUUAGAUU